rnacentral:misc_RNA from 1 species
GAUGAAGAACGCAGCGAAAUGCGAUACGUAAUGUGAAUUGCAGAAUUCAGUGAAUCAUCGAGUCUUUGAACGCACAUUGCGCCCCCUGGUAUUCCGGGGGGCAUGCCUGUCCGAGCGUCAUUGCUGCCCUCAAGCCCGGCUUGUGUGUUGGGUCUCGUCCCCCUUCCCGGGGGGACGGGCCCGAAAGGCAGCGGCGGCACCGCGUCCGGUCCUCGAGCGUAUGGGGCUUUGUCACCCGCUCUUGUAGGCCCGGCCGGCGCUUGCCGACACAUCAAUCUUUUUUCCAGGUUGACCUCGGAUCAGGUAGGGAUACCCGCUGAACUUAAGCAUAUCAAUAAGCGGAGGA